GAUGAACGCUGGCGGCGUGCUUAAUACAUGCAAGUCGAGCGAACAGACGAGGAUCUUGUUCCUCUGACGUUAGCGGCGGACGGGUGAGUAACACGUGGAUAACCUACCUAUAAGUCUGGGAUAACUUCGGGAAACCGGAGCUAAUACCGUAUAAUAUAUUGAACCGCAUGGUGCAAUAGUGAAAGUCGGUUUUGCUGUCACUUAUAGAUGGAUCCGCGCCGCAUUAGCUAGUUGUUAAGGUAACGGCUUACCAAGGCAACGAGGCGUAGCCGACCUGAGAGGGUGGUCGGCCACACUGGAACGGAGACACGGUCCAGACGACUACGGGAGGCAGCAGUAGGGAAUGUUCCGCAAUGGGCGAGAGCCUGACGGAGCGACGCCGCGUGAGUGAUGAAGGUCUUCGGAUCGUGAAACUCUGUUAUUAGGGAAGAACAAAUGUGUAAGUAACUAUGCACGUAUUGACGGUACCUAAUCAGAAAGCAACGGCUAACUACGUG
rnacentral:rRNA from 1 species